GAUGAACGCUGGCGGCGUGCCUAAUACAUGCAGGUCGAGCGAACAGACGAGGAGCUUGCUCCUCUGACGUUAGCGGCGGACGGGUGAGUAACACGUGGAUAACCUACCUAUAAGACUGGUAUAACUUCAGGAAACCGGAGCUAAUACCGGAUAAUAUAUUGAACCGCAUGGUUCAAUAGUGAAAGACGGUUUUGCUGUCACUUAUAGAUGGAUCCUCGCCGCAUUAGCUAGUUGGUAAGGUAACGGCUUACCAAGGCAACGAUGCGUAGCCGACCUGAGAGGGUGAUCGGCCACAUUGGAACUGAGACACGGUCCAGACUCCUACGGGAGGCAGCAGUAGGGAAUCUUCCGCAAUGGGCGAAAGCCUGACGGAGCAACGCCGCGUGAGUGAUGAAGGUCUUCGGAUCAUAAAACUCUGUUAUUAGGGAAGAACAAAUGUGUAAGUAACUAUGCACGUCUUGACGGUACCUAAUCAGAAAGCCACGGCUAACUACGUG
rnacentral:rRNA from 1 species